CAGUCGCCACGGUAAUACGAAGGGGGCUAGCGUUGCUCGGAAUGACUGGGCGUAAAGGGCGCGUAGGCGGAUUGUACAGUCAGACGUGAAAUUCCUGGGCUCAACCUGGGGACUGCGUUUGAGACGUAUGGUCUAGAGUUUGGAAGAGGGUCGUGGAAUUCCCAGUGUAGAGGUGAAAUUCGUAGAUAUUCGGAAGAACACCAGUGGCGAAGGCGACACACUGGCUCAUUACUGACGCUGAGGCGCGAAAGCGUGGGGAGCAAACAGGAUUAGAUACCCCCGUAGUCCCUGUCCCUUAUAC
rnacentral:rRNA from 1 species